rnacentral:lncRNA from 1 species
GGGCUCGCGAGAAAAUUUAGGGGCGGGAUGGUCUCCGGCGGCCAAAGGCCUCGGAGGAGAGAAUUGGUGGACGACAGGAUAGCUGCAGUGGCGGGACACUUGCCAGGACGGAGGUUUGGAUGACGAGGGCGGCGGCCGCCGCCGCUAGGGCCGGGGACAGGGGGAAGGUCUCGUGGGGAAGGCGAGUUGAUUUCGGGGAUGCCUUUUCUUUUUUCUUUUCUUUUUGCGUGCGGAGGCGUUGGUUUUCUUUUCCUGCAGGAGCGAUCGCGGAGAGAGGCAGACCGGAGGA